ACUCAAAUGAAUAGACGGGGGCCCGCACAAGCGGUGGAGCAUGUGGUUCAAUUCGACGCAACGCGAAGAACCUUACCUGGGCUCGAACGGCUAUGGACCGCUCCUGGAAACAGGGGUUUCCCGCAAGGGACUGUAGUCGAGGUGCUGCAUGGCUGUCGUCAGCUCGUGUCGUGAGAUGUUGGGUUAAGUCCCGCAACGAGCGCAACCCUUGUCCUGUGUUGCCACUCCGUAAGGAAGCACUCUCAGGAGACCGCCAGCGAUAAGUUGGAGGAAGGUGGGGAUGAUGUCAAGUCAUCAUGGCCUUUAUGUCCAGGGCUACACACGUGCUACAAUGGCCGGUACAAACCGUCGCAAACUCGCGAGAGGGAGCUAAUCGGAAAAAACCGGUCUCAGUUCGGAUCGCAGGCUGCAACUCGCCUGCGUGAAGCUGGAAUCGCUAGUAAUGGCGUAUCAGAACGAUGCCGUGAAUACGUUCCCGGGCCUUGCACACACCGCCCGU
rnacentral:rRNA from 1 species